CCUACGGGAGGCAGCAGUAAGGAAUAUUGGACAAUGCCCGCAAGGGUGAUCCAGCCAUGCCGCGUGCAGGAAGACGGCCCUAUGGGUUGUAAACUGCUUUUACACCGGAGAAAACCCCUUUUCGUGAAGAGGGCUGAUAGUAUGGUGAGAAUAAGCAUCGGCUAACUUCGUGCCAGCAGCCGCGGUAAUACGGAGGAUCCAAGCGUUAUCCGGAAUCAUUGGGUUUAAAGGGUCCGUAGGCGGCCUUAUAAGUCAGUGGUGAAAUCUUCUAGCUCAACUAGAAAAUGGCCAUUGAUACUGUAGGGCUUGAAUUAUUGUGAAGUAACUAGAAUAUGUAGUGUAGCGGUGAAAUGCUUAGAUAUUACAUGGAAUACCAAUUGCGAAGGCAGGUUACUAACAAUACAUUGACGCUGAUGGACGAAAGCGUGGGGAGCGAACAGGAUUAGAUACCCUGGUAGUCCACGCCGUAAACGAUGGAUACUAGCUGUUUGGAGCAAUCUGAGUGGCUAAGCGAAAGUGAUAAGUAUCCCACCUGGGGAGUACGAACGCAAGUUUGAAACUCAAAUGAAUUGACG
rnacentral:rRNA from 1 species